rnacentral:lncRNA from 1 species
UUCCCAAGAGAAGGCAAAAGUUGGAUUGUCCUGGUGCCCAUCUUUGAGGUUCUGUUUGUGUGGAUGCUUGUACCUGAUUAUACACCAUCUCUUAAGAAGUCCUACCUAGGCCUACUUUUCAAGUACAGAGAGAGUCAUUGUUGACAAGGUGUAACAGCAACGCAAACAUCUUGUUGGCCAGCCCAGCUUGGCUUUGACCGCUUCACCGAGAAAGGACAAAGUGUGAUCAAGAUACCAAUAUUAAGUGUGAGUACAAAAUCUCAUUUAAGACACACAACAAAGAACUCCAGAACCUUAUCUAGGUUCUGUCUUUAAAUUCUAUUUCUAAAAAAGCUCUCAUUUUAACUUGUUCAAAAAUUAUCUUAUUAGUUGAUCCACUCAUCACGAUUACAGAGUGAUCACUGUACAUGAACAUAACCUGGUGCUAUGGUAGAUUCAAGGUGAUUGGAACAUGGUUCCUGGCUUUAAGGAACCUAUGAUCCAGUAAGGGAGAUAGACAAAUACGCAAAAACAUAUACUGUAAGCAGGCCUAAAAGAAGCAAAAGUUUUUAUGUGCAUUCAUAGGAAGGAGUGAUGAACCAUGAAGGAGAAAUUAGGCAAGUAUUCACAAAGGAAGUGGAAUUUAGAAAUGGCCCCCAACUAUAAGCAGAGCUAGUGGCUGGGUGGAGGGCAUUCAUGAGUGAUGUGAAAGCAUGACUGAAGUCAGUUAAAAAAUAGUGAGUGGGUCUUGAUUUCUAAAUCAAAGGUGCAUGCAUUCAUUCAUUCAUGCAACAAAUAAUUAAUGAAUGCCUAGUUCUGAGGCCAUAUUCUACUAGGUACCAGGUGUAUAGUGGUGAACAAAAUAGACUUUGUCUGUGCUCUAUGGGGCAAAUUACUACCUGGCGAGGAGGCAGACAGUGAACAGUAAACAAGCCAUCAACAUAUUGUUUCAACUUGUAAUAGGUCCUACAAAGACAUAAGCAAAGGAUGGAGGGGGAAAAUAAAUAACAAGGGAGGUGCACUUCAGAUAAGCAGAAAUCUCUUAGGGGGAGAUAUUUAACUUCAGACCUGAAAGAUGAAAAGUAGCCAGAGAAGGAAAGAAGAGGCUGAGAGGGCAAAGAAUGUUCCAA